AUUGAACGCUGGCGGCAGGCCUAACACAUGCAAGUCGAGCGAGAAAGCGUCUUCGGGCGUGAGUAGAGCGGCGGACGGGUGAGUAACGCGUAGAAAUCUGCCCAGUAGUGGGGGAUAACCCGGGGAAACUCGGGCUAAUACCGCAUACGUCCUACGGGAGAAAGCAGGGGACCUUCGGGCCUUGCGCUAUUGGAUGAGUCUGCGUCGGAUUAGCUUGUUGGUGAGGUAAAGGCUCACCAAGGCGACGAUCCGUAGCUGGUCUGAGAGGAUGAUCAGCCACACUGGGACUGAGACACGGCCCAGACUCCUACGGGAGGCAGCAGUGGGGAAUAUUGGACAAUGGGGGCAACCCUGAUCCAGCCAUGCCGCGUGUGAAGAAGGCUUUCGGGUUGUAAAGCACUUUCAGUGGGGAGGAAAGACCCAAGGAUAAUACCCUUGGGAGUUGACGUUACCCACAGAAGAAGCACCGGCUAAUUCCGUG
rnacentral:rRNA from 1 species